rnacentral:rRNA from 1 species
CCUAAGGCCAGCGAGAGAACUGUUGUUAAGGAACUCGGCAAAAUGACCCCGUAACUUAGGGAUAAGGGGUGCAACCAUCAGGUGGCCGCAGAGAAUAGGCCCAAGCGACUGUUUACCAAAAACAUAGGUUUCUGCUAAGUCGAAAGACGAUGUAUAGGAGCUGACGCCUGCCCGGUGCUGGAAGGUUAAGGGGAUCUGUUAGAGUAAUCGAAGCAGUGAACUUAAGCCCCAGUAAACGGCGGCCGUAACUAUAACGGUCCUAAGGUAGCGAAAUUCCUUGUCGGGUAAGUUCCGACCCG